AGCAGCUUCAACAUCAGCAAGGCCUUGGAUGAGACUGCAGCAAGGCGCUACAGGAGGUUUACCAAUGGUGAUGUUAAGCAACCCAUUGAGAACAUUAGCACAAACCCCUAAUUUGAGGGUAUCUCUAGGGCAUCUGGUACCUGUGGAAGGUGUGGAAGGUGUAGAAGGUGUGGAAGGGGUGGGGCUUGGCCUUGGGUUUGGCCUUGGUCUAGGGUUAGGACCGGGGCACGUGCCGCAAGAACUUACAAGAGCAAAGAAGAGGAGAUUGAGUGCAAGGAAGAGACUAAGGGAGGCAGUUGUUUUGGAAGCCAUUUCUGAUCAAACCCUAGAAGUGUUUUUCUUUUUCUUUUUUCAGUUUUUGUACUUGAAGUUAGCACACUAGUAGAACUAAUAGAACUUACAAGUAUAUGUGAGAGUGUGAAGAAUUAAGGUCCAGUGGAGUGCGGUUUUAUAGGGUUAAAAAACGGUGAGGUGUUCAACUUGAUGCUAAUAGAAAAUUAAACAAAUAAAUUAAACAAAUAAUCUGAGCUAGCUGAUCCCAUGUGUAUUCUUGUGAUUGUAGCUGGCAAGGCAAGCAAAUUAAAGGCAAACUUUUGUAUUUUUGUGUGGUGGGGGCUGCCAAAUUGCCAGGCUCCUUGUCUUGGCACAAAUCUGUGGAUGCAUAUCUCAUCAUGCACUGUUCUUGAUACCUCAAUUCCAGAGAAUUAUAUGGCAUCAAGAUUUUCGGGUUUGAACCUUUGAUCAAGGGACAAUGGUGGGACUGAAAAAAUCACAAUGUUUUAGUUACGUUAAAAACUUUGUCCUAGAAUUAAUGUUCAAAUAGUUAGAUCAACUAGUUUUUGGUCUAGUGGUAUUUUCACAGAAUGUCAGGACCUCGAAUAUAAAGAUAAACUGCUCUUCAUCACUUGAACUACAAGCCCAUUACUAAAGAUUUACUAAUCAAAUAUUUCAAAUUUUACUAGUAUUGAAUUAAGGUUGUGUUUGAAUCAAGUAUUUGUUACCUCCAAGAAAUUCAAAAAGAUGGAUGAGAUUUUGUGAAUAUGGAAUUUAUUAAAGUCAGGAAUUUGUAAAGCAAGCGGGUCAUACGUCUCAUGUCCAGCCUCUGAUCCAGGAGCUAAGGCCCAUGUCCAACUUUGAGAUGACUCGUGUUUUGGCAGUAGGUGCCAGUUUUAAGUCUGCGGCGCCCACUCCUAAAUUUGAGACUCCCGUCCCUUUUUCUUGGUCGUAAUUCCUAAAUAAGUGCAUGGAGAUCACAACAUUAAUGUUUUUUUUUUUAAUGCUAUAAUUUUGAAUUUGAGUUAAUAUAAAGGUCAUAUUUUAUAUUUCGCGAGGGCCUCUAGAAUUUUUUGAAAUCUCCUUUUCAGUUAUAAAAAUUUCAGGCAAAAUAACGUGUAUCAUAAAAGAUACACACAGAUUUUUUUUUUUAAACACUGCUUAUGUGGGAUCUGGGAUUACUGCAGCUUUCCUCUUUUGGUUCUGGGAAUUAUUUGAAAAAAAAAAGAAAGUGGUAUUUGAUUCCCAUAAUCAUAAGUUCCAUAAUUUUAUUUUGCAAACAGGACUUCAACUCUAUUCACUAAUAGAUCACCAUGCAAAUUAGGCACGAAGAAAAAAUUCGCAAUUUCACUCGCACAUUACACGCAAUUAUAUGAUACUUGCAUAACAAGAAAAAACGGUGUAAGAUCAGAGAAAUGAAUAAUAUCUGUUAGUUUUAUAAGGCAUAUUGGAAUCCAUCUGGAACUUUUAUCUCCACAAGCACUAAGAAGCAAGCUGAUAGCAACGGGGAUGUUGAGGUUGAUGCCCAAAAUUCUGGCUUUGAUGGCAGUGCAGAGGCACACAGCAGCCUCGAGGUCUAGGAGGUGGAACUAGACCAAUGUCUAGGAGGUGGAACUCGACGUCUGCACAAACCCCUAAUUUCAGGGCAUCCCUAGGGCAGGCCUAGGCAACUCUAUUAGGGGCAGGGUUAGGGUUUGCAUUGACAAGGGAAAAGAAAAGGAGAUUGAGAGCGAGGAGUGAGGCAGUGGUUUUUGAAGCCAUCUCUCAAACCCUAAAUCUUGUGUGCUAUUGUACUUAGUACUUACUGUAAUUACUGGUACUCGUAGAAGAAUAUAUGUAGUGGUGACUGGUGAGGGCUUAAUGUCUAGACAGAUUGGACAUUUAUAGGUGUAAUAACUUGAUGUUAACAGAAAAUACAGCAAAAUAAAAUUAAUGAUCCGAGUUUCCAUGUCUGCUUAUGGUUUUCCUUUUUUUCUGGCAGAAUAAGUAGAUGUAAAUCCAAAAUGUUUAUGGCUCUGCAAAUUGCCGUGUUCCUUUUUUUUGGCAUCAAUAAGUACGUUGGUCAUAUAACUUAUGGGGUACUUAGGAGUCAAGUGUAGCCUUCUGGCCGUUUGUGGCUAGGUAGUGUCAGUUCUCACGAUCUCUGGCCAUUUUCGUUGGUUUUGGCAUAUCACGAAGUUUUGUCGACAUUGCCGCCAAACCAAAAAUCUUAAGAUUAAUUUCAUACGCACCUGCCUGCAUAUGAAGCUCAUCAUCAGAUUUUCAGUCCCAGAUUAGCGCCUAUAAACUCAUCACUAGUACUAGUUUCAUACAACCAUUUUAUUUAAACGAGUUAGGACAUCAUGGUACGUUUAUGAAACUUUCUUCUUUAUUACGUGUUAUAUGCGACUAUGUAUUUCUUUCUCCCUUAUCAUGUGACAUUACACGUGAUGAGUAAAAUAGACACAUAAUUGUACACAACUACAUGAGAAAUUAAACAAAUUUUAUAACUCGUUCUUUCAAAUCGUGAAAGAAACACACAUAUAUAUUUGAGAGGUGGUUAAUAUAUAUUUGAAAGGUACGUAGAAGAAAACUAUAAGACAUGUGUAAUUAUUUUAGUCUCGCGUGAAGUGUGCAUGAUUCUUGGCAGAUUCGUGGUGGAAGGAAGUAUCACGGACAGUACAUCUCUAGAAGAAGGCUGGACCUACAAUGGGCUCCACCAGAGCUUCAAUAUUUGAAAAUAUGUGUGAUCGCUUCCAAAUUAAAACCCAAGUUUGUCUUUCCAUUCACACGUUGCAGAGAAAUUUCCGAUGAUUCGAUCGGUAUUAAGUCAAGUGUGUAUCUUGGGAUUAGCCAGUGAUAUGAUGUUUAUUAAUCGAUUUUAUUUUUGUGGCAAGAUGUCUUUUGGAAGUCUCCAAAAGUUUAUAGAUAUGGAGAAUAAUUGCUUUCCUUGCGGCCGAGAUCGACAGUUUUGUCUCCAUAUGCGUUCUUAGCUUCCCAAAGUUUGUAGGCCUCUCGUGAUCGACAAAUAUGCUGCACUAAGUUCUGGGAAAACAUUAAAUCCUAUGAAAAGGCCCCCUGGCCUGAAACUCCCCUACCCCUCCCCCCACCAAGCAAAACCAGCCCUGGCUGCUUGUGGGCUCCAUCAAACCAGGCAAGAUCAGUUCGAGCUGCAGCUUAAAAGCGUUGAUGCCAACGAAUAAAUUAAGUUUUUUUAAUGUUGACGCGUGCGCCGCAAGGCACGUAUGCGUCCUGCUUAGUGAAAUCUUUAGCAACAAUUGAAAAAAAAUAAUUGAAAAAAAUUCAGAUAUUUUUUUUUAAUACCUAACAUUGUUCUUCACUUUCCACACCAAAACUUCAUACAAAUUCCUCUCCUCAUAUCAUAAGUAUAAAUAAAAUUAAUCUUGUGAUAAUAUUUUAUUCCCAUGAUGAUAGGUUACACAAUUUUAUGAGUAAAUAUUAGAGGGACCUUAACCUUAUUUACUAAUUAAUCACCAUGCAAAUGACGCACGAAUAAAAUUCCACUUUCAUCCUCGCAUCACACACAACUAUUAUUUGACACUUGCAUGCAUGCAUGCAUGCAUGAUGCAUAACAAGAAACACCGCAUGAGAUCAAAGAAAGAAACGAUAUUUGUACGUAGUUUUAUGAGGAACAUUGGAACCCAUCUGGAAGCUUAUCUCCACAAGCACUAAGAAGCAAGCUGAGAGCAACGGGAAUGUUGAGGUUGAUGCCCAAAAUUCUGGCGUUAAUGGAAGUGCAAAGGCACACAGCAGCCUCGAGGUCUACAAGGCCAAGGAGGAUAGUGCAGCAAGGUCUCACUGGAACUUGACCAACAUUAACGUUAACCAACCCACUGAGCACGUUAGCUCAAACCCCUAAUUUCAGGGCAUCCCUAGGGCAGGCAACUCUAUUAGGGGCAGGGCUAGGGUUGUUGGCAUUGACAAGGGAAAAGAAAAGGAGGUUGACAGCCAGGAAGAGAGCAAGUGCAGGUCUUUUUGAAGCCAUCUCUCAAACCCCAAAUAUUUUGUUUUACUUGCGGUAAGUACUUGUAGAAGAAUAAAUCUGAUUAGGGUGGUGAGGAUUUAAUGUCUAGAGAAGGUGGACAUUUAUAGGCGUGUAACAACUUGAUUGUAAAGCCAAAGGUUUGUUGUUUUUGCCCAUUUUAGACUCUGGAAAUUGCCAACUUCCUUGUUUUGGCAUCAAGAAGUACGUGGAUGCAUAUGGAAUACUACAUUGUUCUUAAAUAGAUAGCUCAAUUCCAGUGAAUUUAGGGCAUCAAGAUUUAUUGCGGUUGCAUUUGAGCCACAUUUUGUCACAUUUGAGCUUGUGAUUUGGUCUAGUGGUUUGGUCAUAUGACUUAUGGGGUGGUUAGGAGCCAAGUGUAGCUUUCGGGCUGUUUGUGGGAAGAUGGCUUUGUGGCUAGGUAUUGUCAUUUCUCACGAUGUUUGGCCAUUUUUAGGGUUGUCAUCUUCACUAGUGCAGUUUUGUCGACUUGCCGCCUAACCAAAAAUCCGAUGCUUAACUUCAUGCGUAGCUGAAAUUAGUUUCAGCUGCGUAGACUGCAUGUUAAUCAUGAGAUUUUUCUUACCGGAGGUCUAUUGACUCAUCUCUAUUUACCGGUUGUAUAGACGUAUGUGUUUUUAUCUCUUUUAUUAUGUGAUAUAACACGUGAUAUGAGAAAGAUAGACAUAUAAAUUACAUAUAUAACCCUAUGGGAAUCUCAUGCACCUAAAUUAAUUUGAAGUUACGAAGUAUAGGAAAUCAAGGUACGUAAUCCUAUAACUCAUAAUUUCAAACCGUGAAGGAAGAAAAAAAAGAGGCACUAGAAUGUAACGUAGUUUGAAAGUGUUGGUUAACCUAUGUAUGAAUAGGGAAGCCCAACCUGGUUGUACACCAGUUUAGUGUUCAAAGGUCCAGCAUUGGCAUAGACAAAAGCCCAUUAUAAAUGGAAGCCCAUACAUCCAUUAGGAAAUCCUUAAAUCGGUAAGACCGGUUGUUUGUCUAACAAGAAUUCCAUAGUGAGGGUCUUAUACACAGUCCCUAGGUAAGACCCUAUCUCUUAACAUUGGAUCAAAUUGAUUAGCCUGAUCCAACGGUUAAGAGAUAGGACCUCACUUAAAGGCCAUAUAUAAGGCCCUCACUAUAGAAUGACUCGUCGGUCUAAUGAGGAAUUGGGAGUUUUAUUAACAAUUUACUUGGGUAGAUGGACAUCCGGUAGUUUCUGAAUCUUUGAUGUAAAGAAUUACAAAAGAAAUUCUUUCAACAAAGAUAGAAAGGAUUGAUCGAGGAAAUUUGAACACUUCGCUUGCAAUAUGAUGAUCUAAUAGGUGUAUUUUUUUUUCAGAUUGAUUAUAGUUUGUCAUUGAACUGUUAUCAAAUAAAUUACUAUAGACAAACGAAUACAUUGUUUCCCAAAAAAAUAAAGAUAACCAAAUUAUCAACCGUUUUUAGAAAAGAUGGUAUUUCAUUAAAUCCAUAAGAACGUUGCAUGGUAAUAACUAGCAUGAUAACAACGGCCUCAUUAAAAACUUUCCGGAGAAAACAAAACUCCGAGGUAGGAAAGAUUACAACCCAUGCUAAUGACUAAAUAGAAGAGUCAAACAACUUAUACGAAACAAACAAUUAGAACCUAACCACAAAAUCCUUAAAACACAACCUAUCACUAAGAUGGUAUUGUCAAAUUGUUAUAAAUUAAAAUAAUAGACGAAUGAUUAACCACUAAAUGUAGGGCAUUGUUAAUCAAAUAAUUAAAUGAUCUUCAAUUUGGUUAAUUGUUUUUUUACAUGAAUAAUUCUUGAAGGAUGACAUGGAAAAUAAACUAAUCCAAUUAUCAAAAAACAUUGUAAGAUGAAAAGAAAAAGUGGAUAUAUACAAGAUCUAAUAAAUUCAGAGGAUAAACAAAAUCGUAUCUUGGAGUGUACUGGAUGAUGUUCACGGGUGUUCCUAAGAAGGCCAUUGGUCAUCUUGUGAUCCAAAAAAUAAAAAACUAAUUAAUAAUGCAUUAAAAUAACAAAUAUUGAACAUGCACCUUAGGCCUCCCAAAUUUGUUGUGGAAUCUCGAGCACUACCAGCUAAUUCUAGGCCAGCCUUGCUUCACAUGCUGCUCCUCACAGUAUGAAUAUCAGGCCAAGAAUAGGACCAUUCACAUUGCACCCUAUAAAUACCUCUUUGACAGUCUUAACCAUCGCAACAAAAGAAAAGAAAAAAAGUUUCUCAUACUUUAAUUAAUAGUACUAAAUAGUGAAGUUAGAGAGAGAGAUAUAUAUAUAUCUAUGGAUUCCAAGAGAUCUUCAACCCUUGCUCUCUUCCUCUCCAUCAACCUUCUCUUUUGUGUCCUUGCCAAUGGCUGCUACACUUGCUCUCGGCAGCCUCAUCAGCCAAUCACAGCCCCUAAAACAAACCCUAUCCCCAGCGUAGCGACGAAGAGCUGCCCUAGAGAUGCCCUAAAGUUGGGGGUUUGUGCCAAUUUGCUUAAAGGGGCAGUUGGAGCAAUAAUCGGGAACCCGCCAGAUACCCCUUGCUGUGCUUUGCUUGAAGGGCUUCUUGACCUUGAAGUUGCUAUGUGCCUUUGCACUGCCAUUAAAGCCAAUAUCCUUGGUAUCAACCUUAAUAUCCCCAUUGCUUUGAGCUUGGUCAUUGAUGGUUGCGCAAAGACAUUCCCCCCUGGCUUCCAAUGCGCAUAAGCUGUUACAUUGUUUUGAAUCUGUAUGUCUCAUGUGUGAGGCAAAACUUUGUAGCUUGAUUUCUUUCUUUGUGUUUGGCUAGAGGUUAUUUUUCAUGUGCCAAUUGUUCAAUGACACUUUUAUUGAGUUUACACACUUCCCAUUGUAAUUCCCUAAUGGCAUGCAUCAACUUGAAAUUGACUUCAAUGUAUUAUGUUGAAUUUGAUCUCUCUCUCUCUCUCGCUCUCUCUCACACACACACACAUAUACAUGUGGAUAUAUUGAUAUGCCCCAAAAAAAAUCAAAGUAUAAAGAUAGUAACUAAUGCAAGGAUGCUGUCUUACGUACGGCUGAAUGGAACAAUGGGUAUGGUGUGUGAACUAACCUAUUUAGAGAUGAUUACCUAAUUAAGAUCCAUCGAAGUUUGGGUUAAUUUUGCAACAGAAAUAACGAGAUUGACCCCUAUGCUAGCUAGAUGAUGUGUAUAUAUCCAUUCAAACAAUACAUCAUAUUUGAAACUACAUUUUGUAGGUUAUAAUACAUUGGUGCACUGAAAGGGAAUAAGGCCUAUAUCGGCUAGCUAGGCGAUGUUCCGAAAUCAUUUUUUUAAAUAUUUUAUUUUCUAUAAGAUUAUAAUUAUGUCGUCAUAAGUAAAUUAGGGCCGGAGCCACUCAUGGGCUUCCAGUGGCCUUAGCCCUCCGAAAAGUUUCAAACACAUAUACAAUAAUAUGAAAUUUGUUAUGUAAAAUCAAUUUUAUUAAAGCUUUUCUUUAUAUAUUGGCCCCAAACUUAAAAUCCUAGCUCUUUCCUUUGGAUGUAGCACAUGUCAAAUAUAAUAACACGAUAUAUACAACCAUUAAAUUUAAACAAAAAGGCUAAAACUAAACAAAAUUGAAGUGUUUAGUAGAAAAUAAUAAAUUUCCACUUCCAAAACUUGAGCAACCCGUGAAUAUCCAAUCCAACCCCCAAUCAUUCCUUCUUCCUCAGUAUUUGGGUUUCGCUGGUUUUGUUUUGGUGGUUUUGGUGGCUCAAUUAGUGGUUCUUAGCUCUUCCACGUCUCAAUCAAUGGGUGCAACUUGCAUCCACCGGUUUCGAACAACUAAUAAUGAGGAUGUUUAGGGCAACUUGCAGUUCAUGUGUGGUACAAUUUGGCAUUAAAAGAGAUAAAAAAAGGCAAGAAGACGACAAGAAUUCUCUGCAUGAUGUAGGAAGGGAGGUGGUGAUUACAGAGAAAAGUUUAAUCUAAAGCUAAUGUGAACUUGCUGACUCUUGUACUCAUAUUGGAAAUGCUUUCAUAUCAUAUUGAUAUAUAGUUUUAUGUUGUAGUUGUCGAGAGAGAGAGAAAGAGAGGUGGCACGUGCGAACCUGUAAAGAAGAGCAUUUCUAUAACGAGUUGGAAUCUACACACAGUAUGUAUUUGUAAUCCAACCACGGGCAAGUUUAGAGAAUAAGUUCCAAACUGACAAAUUUGCAAAAUUCACAAAGAUAGGAAACCACAGUAUUUUAUUUGUAAUGCACAGUAUUUUAUGCCUAUAAUGAGUUUAUCAAUGUAGUUGCUCUUUUUUUUUUUUUUGUCGUCGUAGUCGUGGAAGAGAUGCUUUAUUAAAAAAUAAUAAGUAUUAUUGGAUUAGAUUGGAUUAAUCUUUCUACAUUAUAUUUGACUUAUAGGGAUAUGAUUGGAUUUUAAGAAGUUGUUUGGUGCAAUACAACACCAAAGUUGAGAUUAGUAUGCUUUUUUAUAUAUUUUUUUAUAUUCUCAUUUCCAAAUUAAUUACAACAAAAUCAAUAUUUUUAUAUAUUUUUUUUAUUCUCAUACCUCCCUUCAUAUCUCAAGAAAAAAAAUAGCCACAAAAUUGCAAAAUUAAAAAUAUAUAUAAAGAGGAAGAAGAUAUGAAUCUGCCUUUCAUCAAUUUUUUCUUCCACCAUAUGCCUUUCGUCCAAGAUCUGAGGUCUAGAUAUGGCAGUGGAAAAGAGAUGGCAGAGGGGAAGAGAGAGAGAGAGGAUCUGAGAUAAGAGAGAAGAGGAGAAGAGAAGAGGGGAAGAGAGAACAGAGAAGUGAGAGAGGAGAGAGAAGAGAGCAUAAAGAAGAAAGAGAAGAAGAGAAGAGAAGAGAGAGAAGAAGAGAGAUGGCUAGAGGUGUGCUCUCUGGCUUCAAAAUCCACGUAUGGAGUUGGGUUUCUAAGCCCCAAUUAUUUGGGACUUGGAUCCAAGGCUCAUAUCCAGUCUAGACACACUUUAAGCCCACCAAACAAUGGUUAGGACUCAUGUCCAUUUUAAUUGAAAAUAUCCAGUCUAGUCUAGUCUACCAAACGGGGCCUAAGAGCAUGUCUAAGGGGCAAGAGGCAAGGGAUUUG
rnacentral:lncRNA from 1 species